rnacentral:misc_RNA from 1 species
AACGCAACUUGCGCCCUCUGGUAUUCCGGAGGGCAUGCCUGUUUGAGUGUCAUGUAGCCUCAAUCCCCCGGGUUUCCGGGAAGAUUGGACUUGGGCGUCUGCCGUGCCACACGGCUCGCCUUAAAUGACUUAGUGGGACGACUGACUGUAGUCGGGAGUAAUAAGUUUCUCUCGGUCACGUUGGUUCAACCGCUCAUAACUCUGUGUUUACACAAUUUAUGACUCUGACCUCAAAUCAGGUAGGACUACCCGCUGAACUUAA